rnacentral:rRNA from 1 species
GACAGAGGGGGCAAGCGUUGCUCGGAAUUACUGGGCGUAAAGGGCGCGUAGGCGGGAUGGCAAGUCUGACGUGAAAUCCCCGGGCUCAACCUGGGAAUUGCGUUGGAGACUGCAAGGCUAGAAUCUGGCAGAGGGGGGUAGAAUUCCACGUGUAGCAGUGAAAUGCGUAGAGAUGUGGAGGAACACCGAUGGCGAAGGCAGCCCCCUGGGUCAAGAUUGACGCUCAUGCACGAAAGCGUGGGGAGCAAACAGG